GCUGCCAUUCUGCUCCUAACCUC
rnacentral:siRNA from 1 species